rnacentral:lncRNA from 1 species
GUCAGCAGGCCGCACACGCGCCGGACCGGGUACCGCUGUGCCCGGCCUGGCCGCGGCCUAGUCCCGGCAGACGGGACUGACGAGGUCACCAAGCCCAGGCCGAGACGGCGCGGGUGUCAGGGACUUGGGAAUCCCCCUCCCCCAGUCCCGAUCCCGCUUUCCUUUGGGGUUUCACCUCAGAGGACCCGACAGCACUCUUGCAGUUUCCUCAUCCUCAAGAUGGACUGCACCUUCUGGCAUCUCAAGUGGUUCUUGUGAAGAUUAAAUGAAUCCAUCAGGCCGGGUGCGGUGGCUCACGCCUGUAAUCCCAGCACUUUGGGAGGCCGAGACGAGCGCAUCACCUGAGGUCAGGAGUUCCAGACCAGCCUGGCCAACAAGGUGAAACCCCAUCUCUACUAAAAAUACAAAAAGUUAGCCAGGUGUGGUGGCUCAUGCUUGUAGUCCCAGCUACGUGGGAGGCUGAGGCAGGCGAAUCACUUGAACCCAGGAGGCGGAGGUUGCAGUGAGCCAAGAUUGUGCCAUUGCACUCCAGCCUGGGGGAUAGAGUGAGACUCCAUCUCAAAAAAAAUAAAUAAAUAAAUAAAUAAAUGGAUCAAUCAGUUUAAAAACUUAGAACAGUGCGUGGCAAAUAGUGCUCAAGAAGAGUAGGCUUGUGAAACAUUCACAUGCAUUGUUUUAACAAACAAUGCUUCCCCAGACCUCCCCACAGAGUUGACGCUCUGGAAAGAAAAGCCAGGCUUUUCUCUGAGGUUUUGCAUCUCCUUGGCCAAUGUGCUCAUGCCAGAGAAGAGCAGUGCAUGGCCAGUUUGAGGAGCACGGCCAUGUGACCUUGGACAGCCCCUGCCUCUCUCUAGGACUCACUCCCGGUCCCUAACCUCAGCUCUCUGAUCUGUACCACAAGGAGCUGCCACUAACACCUGUGUCAGAACUACUGUAAGGACCCUUUCCUCCUGCGAGAGGAGAACAGUGCUAAACCUGUCUGAACGUGAUAGACAUGCUACAAACUGCCAACCCUUUAGGCUAUAAACUGCUCACACAUGGGCCAAGUGUCACUCUCAUAAGAAGGUGUGAUUUUUUUUAAGCUGCCAGCAGCCUUGAAGCCACCUGGGACUGCACAGUAUGUCUGUGUGUGCCUUGAUCGCAUCACCCCCUGGACCUCCAGUGACCGAGAUCUCCCGCCAGACACCCGGGGCUGAGUCCUCGGAGAAGCCGCCUGCCGGGUGCAUCACCAGGACUCCAUUGGUGGUCAGUCCAUCCAUCAGGCCAUCUGGGGUCCGCCAUUUGGCCGCUCGCUCCUGGGACCACAUGAGGGAUCAGAUCACAUCCCCCAGGGGCCCCCCAGCAGGCCAUGUGCCAGAGGCACUGCCCCCGCUACCUUCAAGUUCAGAGGCGGCCCAGAGAGGACUGGCAUUGAAGCUGCAUGACUUGAGCGUCUCUCUGGGCCUCACUUUGCUCAUCAGUUAGGUGGGGUUGCUAACUGCCAGGACCACCAUUUGGAUUACUGUGGGCUGGUUCAUCACCUCAAGAUGCUGCACCUCCCAAGCCUACCCCUUGCCUCACAGAUGAAGAGUUGGUCCCUUCCUGGGGCUCACUCACUCCAAGGAAGAUGUUGCUAGAGGCAUCGAAGCCAGCGGCAUAGAUGCGGGCAGUAUAGGGUGGCCGGCGGUCACAGAGGAUGCGGCAGGCAUAGCGGGAGAUGGUGCUCUGGGCAGAAGGGCCCUCGGCAGCCCCUCCUCCAGGGGACGUGUCUGUUACCACGAAGUCAAUCAUGUUCUCUGUGGAGCGGCCAAUCUGUGAGGACAGGGAGAGCAAGCAGGGACUGUAUGUACAUAGGGGACUCUCAUGGGCCUUCCCUCCCAGAGUACCAGCAGCUGCUCUGUAUGCAAGGUCACCAAAAAAGGAGGCUGCCAGGCCCUGGAGAAGGGGCAGCACCAACUCCAUAGGCCCUCUAGGCUCCCAGGUGGGGUCUCCAAGUCCAAGAAGCCGUGGCCUGGAGCAGCUUCUCCUUCUCUGUUGCCCCCACAGCACUAGGGAUCGCCCCAUUCAAUAAAUACAAGUUGAUUUGCUGAUAUAAUUAUAAGAGGGUGCUCAAAUGUUAGCAGCAGAUAGUGACUUCUAAGUAACUAUUUGCUAUAUGCCAGCCACCAUGCUAAACAUUUUAUAUGCAAUGCCUAAGUUAAUCUUCCCGUGGGGUGGGUACUAUUAUGGGCCUCAUUUUACAGAUGAGUAAACCAAGGCCCAGAGAACUUAAGUGAUGCUUCCCCAAAGUCACCCAGUGGUAAGUGAUGGAGCCAAAAUCUGAACCCAGGCACUAGGCCUCUCACACCUGAACUCCUGAGCUGUGUGACCUCCCACAGUCUAGGAGUCUUGAAUUUGAUCCUUGAUAUAGCCACUGACUUGCUGUGUGACUCUGCAGUCAACAGCCCACACCGGGACAUCCUGCUUCCUCGUCUGGAGAGAAGCAGCUUUCCCAUGGCCUCCCAACCCGUAGCCUCACCUGAAAUGCUUGCAGAGCCUAGAGGCCUGGUGGCCAGGAGGUGUGUGGAGAGGCCUGAGCAUACCUGGAACAUGUCUGUGUCGCUAUCAUGUGUAUACUCCACUAUGACCGAGUGGCUCCGGGACAGUGUAUACGAGAUGCUGUGCUGACCACGGUUACUCAGUGCCUGGUGGGGAGAAAAAAGUCACUUGCCAGGGUGUGCAGCCAUGAUAAGUGUAUGCCUUGAGCAAGCACCUGGAGCUCAAGGCCCAGCAGCCACUCCCUGGGAAGGGGGCAGCUCCAUCCUUCUCAGAGGGUGGACAGUGCAGCAGAUGUUUCACAUGAUUUAAGCCCUACAGUCACCCUAAGGAUGGGGUUAUCAGGCUGGGUGCGGUGGCUCACGCCUGUAAUCCCAGCAUUUUGGGAGGCUGAGGUGGGCGGAUCACUUGAGGUCAGGAGUUCAAGACUGGCCUGGCCAACAUAGUGAAAUCCCGUCUCUACUAAAAA